rnacentral:rRNA from 1 species
CCUACGGGAGGCAGCAGUGGGGGAUAUUGCACAAUGGGGGAAACCCUGAUGCAGCGACGCCGCGUGGGAGAAGAAGUAUUUCGGUAUGUAAAGCCCUAUCAGCAGGGAAGAAGAAAUGACGGUACCUGAGUAAGAAGCACCGGCUAAAUACGUGCCAGCAGCCGCGGUAAUACGUAGGGUGCAAGCGUUAUCCGGAUUUACUGGGUGGAAAGGGAGCGCAGGGGGCACGGCAAGCCUGAUGUGAAAGCCCGCGGCCCAACCGCGGGACUGCAUUGGGAACUACCGGGCUGGAGUGCCGGAGAGGUAGGCGGAAUUCCUAGUGUAGCGGUGAAAUGCGUAGAUAUUAGGAGGAACACCAGUGGCGAAGGCGGCCUACUGGACGGUGACUGACGCUGAGGCUCGAAAGCGUGGGGAGCAAACAGGAUUAGAUACCCUAGUAGUC